AUCAGUAAGCUUCGAUAAAGCAUUCCCGUAACUUCACCAUGGCGUUUUCUCUGCACUUCGCUGGUAAUUUUCAUCCUUGCGUUGCAGAUUAAUUCAACAAUUCGCAUUAUAUCCCAUUCUGAGAAGAUCUCUGACUCCUCAACAACUUCUGUGAGAGGAACCUUUUGCAUAUUCGUCCCAUCUGUUUUCGUCUUCCUGUGGUAUCUCUCAUCUCGGCUGCCUGCCUGCCAACCAUUUCUGCCAUCAAGUGGGGAUGUUUCCUACAGGCUUUGCAAUGCAUAUGGAGAGCCCUCUUCUAACACACAAUAUAUAAGCCAAAAGCUGCCUCUAGCUCUGCUGAACAGCAAUAUAAUGCUCUUUACAAAAAUUAUCUGUAAAACAACAGCUUUGUGCCAUUACAGAUAUAGGUCAAAAUAAAAUGUCAAGCACAAGAGCUUUGUUUUUAUUCUUAACACCAUGCACUUUGUGGGAUUACUCAGUGUUUGAUGGCAAAAUAGGCGGGUUAAAUUGGAUUUACUGUAUUAUUUACUUUUUUCUACUCCCUGAUGUACUGAAAUACCCAAAAUGAAGCAGACAUUCUCUGUUAUUAAUUAUUACAAAAAUUAUAUCAAAUAUCGAAUUGCACGGUCUAUCAUUGCCGUCAUAUUUUAGUCUGUUGAGAAGUGUGUUCAAGUCAGCGAGUUCAGAUUUUAUAGCGUUCUGUAGUGCCAUCUAGAGGCCAUUGCAUUUAAUGUCAGCGGAAAUUUGAUCCAAUUCUCUGACGUGAUCAGUGCAUGAAACCAUGUCUUGUAUGAGUAUGCUAUUGGACUAGAGUACUAUAAGUUCUCAACACCACAGGAUCACAGCAUAGAUCCUACCAUUAGGAAUGUAACUUUCAAUCAAGGACUAGGAUUUCUAUGUUAUGAUACUUUCUGCUUCUACUCCACAAUAUUUUUUAUGCAAAUAUUGUAAUUAGUGCUCAUUAAAUUUAUUUUAACACUUUAGCUACUUAUUAUUUUUCAGAUAAAUUGCAUUAUUAUGGAUCAAGUUACCCAUCACGUAAGUAUUGUAUAUCAUUAGUAUAUGAACAGCUGCAAAAUGUAUAUGAUAUACACAUCAAUUAAAUAAUUUUCAUGAUAGCAUCCAAUUAAGUAGCAUAAUGUAUAUUAUUCUGAAAGCGUCAUUCUAUGAGUAUAUUUACUUUAGGUACUUUGAUUUUAUAAUUUGUACAUGCACUAUAUUAAACUAUAAUAUAUACAGAUUUUUACAUAAGUAAAAAGUUUAAACAGUUUUUCCCCCCACUUUCCAAAAUGACAACACAUCAUGUUUAAAGUCCUGUGCAGCACCAGUUUUAACAUAAAUUUGUAAUAGGACAAGUUGAAAUGCCCCUGUCUGCAGGCCAACUCAGGUUUGCGUCAGGGCUUCAUCAAAUGUUUGUGGAGUCCAGGUCACGUGAUGGAGAACUUCAUCACUUGUCUUAAUGAUCCAGUACAAUUACAGUAGCAACAAUGAAUAAGAGGCUCUCUUUAUUUUAAACCAUUAAUCUGGGCUCUCAUCUGAGGUGCCAUCCAUCAGCUGGUUAAUCUAAUGAACUACUUUCUCAGUAAAUA
rnacentral:lncRNA from 1 species